UUAGUGGAAGCGUCUGGAAAGGCGCGCGAUACAGGGUGACAGCCCCGUACACAAAAGCGCAUGUGCUGUGAGCUCGAUGAGUAGGGCGGGACACGUGGUAUCCUGUCUGAAUAUGGGGGGACCAUCCUCCAAGGCUAAAUACUCCUGACUGACCGAUAGUGAACCAGUACCGUGAGGGAAAGGCGAAAAGAACCCCGGCGAGGGGAGUGAAAAAGAACCUGAAACCGUGUACGUACAAGCAGUGGGAGCCCCACCACUAAGCCAGUGGUGAACUCCACAUACGCAUCCUUUGCUGAGGAUGCGGUUAACGGAGCGAAAGCGACGUUCAACCGCAAAAGAAGCAGAGGGGGCUUAGUGGUGGGGUGACUGCGUACCUUUUGUAUAAUGGGUCAGCGACUUAUAUUCUGUAGCAAGGUUAACCGAAUAGGGGAGCCGGAGGGAAACCGAGUCUUAAUUGGGCGUUAAGUUGCAGGGUAUAGACCCGAAACCCGGUGAUCUAGCCAUGGGCAGGUUGAAGGUUGGGUAACACUAACUGGAGGACCGAACCGACUAAUGUUGAAAAAUUAGCGGAUGACCUGUGGCUGGGGGUGAAAGGCCAAUCAAACCGGGAGAUAGCUGGUUCUCCCCGAAAGCUAUUUAGGUAGCGCCUCGUGAAUUCAUCUCCGGGGGUAG
rnacentral:rRNA from 1 species